GGCUGAAAUUCGCCUUCAUGAAGCUGGAAUUGCUGUAAUGGCAGGUCAGCAUACUGCCGUGAAUACGUUCCCGGGCCUUGUACACACCGCCCGUCACACCAUGAGAGUUGGGAAUACCCGAAGCCUGUGAGCUAACUUAUAGAGGCAGCAGUCGAAGGUAGAAUCAAUGAUUGGGGUGAAGUCGUAACAAGGUAAC
rnacentral:rRNA from 1 species